ACUACGGGUGGCUGCAGUGAGGAAUAUUGGUCAAUGGGCGGAAGCCUGAACCAGCCAAGUAGCGUGCAGGAUGACGGCCCUACGGGUUGUAAACUGCUUUUAUACGGGAAUAACGCGCCUUACGUGUAGGGCUUUGCAUGUACCGUAUGAAUAAGGACCGGCUAAUUCCGUGCCAGCAGCCGCGGUAAUAGGGAAGGUCCGGGCGUUAUCCGGAUUUAUUGGGUUUAAAGGGAGCGUAGGCCGCAUGUCAAGCGUGCUGUGAAAUGUCCGGGCUCAACCCGGGCCUUGCAGCGCGAACUGGCGUGCUUGAGUCCGCGGAAAGCAGGCGGAAUUCGUCGUGUAGCGGUGAAAUGCUUAGAUAUGACGAAGAACCCCGAUUGCGAAGGCAGCUUGCUGCAGCGGAACUGACGCUGAUGCUCGAAAGCGCGGGUAUCGAACAGGAUUAGAUACCCGGGUAGUC
rnacentral:rRNA from 1 species